GAAAAUCCAGCCAGUUCUUCCAUUCCUCCCUCACUUUCUGCUGCACUUCGACCUGACAGUCAAUGAAUAAAAGCAGCAGUGUUUAACUGCAGGACCAAGCAGAGAGAAGCCAACAAAGACUGUCACAAUUGCCGGUUUGGGUUAAAACAUUUGAAGGCAUCCAUCCUACAGAUUUGGCUGUGAUUAAGGAUCUGAAGCUCCUCGCUGCAGCGUCUAUUUUUCUAUCACCUGACUAAAAAUUUUGUUUUCCAAAGAUAA